rnacentral:lncRNA from 10 species
CCGCCUUCCUGCCACUCCUCCCGCCUUCCUGCCCUCCGCUGCCUGUGGCUCCUCACUUCCCCGGCCGUGCCGUCAGGGGCGCUCCAGAGCAGCCCCGGUGCCCACGUCUCAUCGCAGCCCUCUGGCAGGACAGCGCGCGUCUAAACUAAGCCGAGGCGCACUUCGCUAAGGGGACCUCUCCGUUUGGACAAUCCCGACGCCCGGCUCUACGUGAGGCGUUUUUCCCUCGUUCUCAUUCAUGGGCGGCGCUGGGCAUUCUCUGCCAUCCUUAGGGGUCCUCCACAGCAUGCGGGAGGCCGGCGCCCCAGGGCUCUUUCACCCCCCGCUGCUCUCGUUCCUCCACGUGUUCUCCCGAGCGACCCACCCGCGUUCAUGGUCCCAAACCCCCACCUAACCUCCAGCCAGCGCCCUUCUCCCGAGCUCCAGGCCCCUCCAGCUCCAGUGUGGGCAUCGUCCCCUGGUUCUCCUCAAGUCCACUUACACUCAGCCUCUUCCAGGCGGAAUUCCUCAUCUCCCACACAACCCUUUGCCGCUCUGGUAUCAGCUGGUGGCUUCUCCGUGGCCAUGCAGAGAAUAGAGACAGAACUUGAAACUGAUGUGCACAUGAGUGAGAUUCUUCAGCAAGGUGACAGACAGGAGGGUAAAGAGGAAGUAGGAUGAGCUCUUUGCUUUGAGUUUCUGUUUUCCAGGUCGGCUUGAUUGGAAAGAGGGAUGGCCGUGGUGAGAGUUGACAGUGUGCUGGUAGCCCUCGCAGCCCACGCUCGCUCUCGGCGCCUCCUCUGCCUGGGCUCCCACUUUGACGGCACUUGAGGAGCCCUCCAGCCCGCCGCCGCACUGUGGGAGCCCCUUGCUGGGCUGGCCGAGACCGGAGCCAGCUCCCUCAGCUUGCAGGGAGGUGUGGAGGGAGAGGCAUGGGCGGGAACCAGGGCUUCGCGGGUGCCUGCGGGCCAGCACGAGUUCCGGGUGGGCGUGGGCUCAGCGGGCCUCACACUGGGAGCCGCAGGCCGGCUCGCAAGUCCCGGGCAGUGAGGAGCUUACUACCCGGGCCAGCAGCUGCGGAGGGUGUGCCGGGUCCCCCAGCAGUGCCGGCCCACCGGCUCUGUGCUGGAUUUCUUGCCGUGCCUUAGCUGCCUCCCCUCGGGCAGGGCUGGGGACCUGCAGCCUGCCAUGCCUGAGUCUCCCUCCGCACUGCCAGAUGCUCCUGCCGGGCCUGAGUCUCCCCGACGAGCGCUGCCCCAUGUUCCACGGCGCCCGAUCCCAUCCACUGCCCAAGGUCUGAGGAGUGCCAGCGCACGGCGACGGAGUGGCAGGCAGCUCCACCUGCGGCCCCGGUGUGAGAUCCACUGGAUGAAGCCAGCUGGACUCCUGAGUCUGGUGGGGACUUGGAGAAUCUUUAUGUCUAGCUGGGGGAUUGUGAAUGCACCAAUCAGCACUCUGUAUCUAGCUCAAGGUUUGUAAACACACCAAUCAGCACCCUGUGUCUAGCUCAGGGUUUGUGAAUGCACCAAUCGACACUCUGUUUCUAGCUAAUUUAGUGGGGCCGUGGAGAACUUUUGUGUCGAACUCAGGGAUUGUAAACGCACCAAUCAGCACUCUGUCAAAAUGGACCAAUCAGCUCUCUGUAAAACAGACCAAUCGGCUCUCUGUAAAAUGGACCAAUCAGCAGGAUGUGGGUGGGGCCAGAUAAGAGAAUAAAAGCAGGCUGCUCCGCGCUAGCACUAGCAAGUUGCUAGAGUGGCCUGCCACAGUGUAAGUUUUGUUCUUUAGCUCUUUGCAAUAAAUCUUGCUACUGCCCACUCUUUGGGUUUACACUGCAUUUAUGAGCUGUAACACUCAUGGUGAAGAUUUACAGGUUCAGUCCUGAAGCCAGCGAGACAAAGAACCCACUGGGAAGAACAAACAACUCCAGACGCCCCAACUUAAGAGCUGUUAACACCCGAAGAUCUGCAGCUUCACUUUUGAGCCAGCGAGACCACGAACCCACCAGAAGGAAGAAACUCUGAACAGGCUGGAACGUCAGAAGGAACAAACUCAGGACAUGCCACCUUUAAGAACUGUAACACUCACUGUGAGGGUCUGCGGCUUCAUUCUUGAAGGCUGUGAGACCAAGAACCCACCAAUUUCGGACACACUGGGACCACCCUCGCUGACUGGAGCACUUGAGGCAAUCAUUCCCAGAUAGUGGAACCUCGAAUGGCAGACACUGUGGUUCUCCUGCGGGGCUGAGAACUGUGAGGAGCAGAGCAGACUUCAUGGAGCUCCACAAGUCACAUACACAGGCGGCUGCUGGCUAUUUCCGCUUUCUCAUCUGGAAUUGGCAGCGGACUAAGUGGGCCCUACUUAUUAGAUAAGGAAACUGAGGCACACAAGGUCAGCUAACCUGCCCGAGGUCUCUAGCUAGUGACUGGAAGAGGUGUUCUCUGGAUAUUAUUUGAAUCUCAGUCUCGCUAUAUUUCUUCGUCAUGACUGUAACUUUCCCCCUGUAUUUCUAAAUAUUUUAAUCUCUUGAUCAUAUAGCAUACGUUGAUUUAAUAAAUCACUUUUACAUGCAUUAUCGUAUUUGGUAUUCAUCACAGCUCUCUGAGGUGGGUAAGGGAGAUUUGGUUACUUCUUUCUGACAAAUGAGAAAAAUGAUGCUCAUAGACACUGUUAAGUUAGAAGCACAGGGCGUUAAUUCUGGAAGUGUUUUAAAGAUUACCCAAUCCAGCCACUCAACUUUUAGGAAAUUGAGCGUCAGAAAAAUAAAUGCCUUUCUCUAGUUCCCACAGCUGGCUGCAGUACCAAUCACCUGCCUCUGAGUUCAUUGCCAGCUGGGUGCUGUGGAACUUACCUUGACUUUGGAGUUAAUUAUCCAACUUCUCUGAGCUAUA